rnacentral:rRNA from 1 species
UACGUAGGGUGCAAGCGUUAAUCGGAAUUACUGGGCGUAAAGCGUGCGCAGGCGGUUUUGUAAGUCUGUCGUGAAAGCCCCGGGCUCAACCUGGGAAUUGCGAUGGAGACUGCAAGGCUUGAAUCUGGCAGAGGGGGGUAGAAUUCCACGUGUAGCAGUGAAAUGCGUAGAGAUGAUGGAGGAACACCGAUGGCGGAAGGCAGCCCCUGGGUCAAGAUUGACGCUCAUGCACGAAAGCGUGGGGAGCAAACAGG